rnacentral:lncRNA from 1 species
AGGAAAAGGACCAACUAUACAAAUGAAUUCCUCCCAAUACCUGAUAAGGUCAGUACUAGAGCCACUACUAACAGGUACCCAGAGUACUAGACAAAAAUUCAAAAUGUACACAAUAUACAUAAGCAGUCUCGAGUGCAAAAGACUAACAAGAGUAGAUAGAGGAUGAUCAGCCUCGGACGACAGCAAGCUCACCCUGAUCUGGAUCAGUACUGGAAGGUAGGAGUCACAUCAGCGUCGACUGCUAGUACCCGGAUCUGCAUCAGAAAAAUAGAUGCAGAAGUGUAGCAUGAGUACCAAACCAACGGGUAAUCAGUAGACAUCAUCGGCCGACUGAUCUCAAUACAAAAAAGGUAUAACUACAAUGCGAAAGUGUAAUCCAAGUCAACAGUAAAGGAACAGAAAGGCUAAACAACUGUCAAGCUAC